rnacentral:misc_RNA from 1 species
GCCAGACAGCCAACAGCUGCAGAAACCUCACGCCAAGAGCGAGAGACCCUUUCCCGAUCCCGCCGCCUCCUCCUCGCCGUCGACGUUGCUUCGCGAAGAGCCGAAGAUGCUGCUCCUGCGGGCAUCGACGGCGCCGUUCGCGUACGCCAAGGUGGACAAGGUGGACGCGGAGGAGGCGCGGCACCUCAGGGCGCAGUACCUCAUCCACAAGGUGCUGGAGGAGAAGAGCCCAAGGCCGCCGGCGGCGCUGGCGCGGACCAGCAGGCCCAGGGUCGGCGUCCGGCUGAAGAAGCUCAGGCUCGCCGUCCGGGGCCUCAGGGCGCGCGCGUGCCGGGCCCUGCUGAGGCACCUCAGGAACCUCAGGCGGCUCGUCGGGCACGGAGCUCAGGGGUCGCCGUGACGCCGUCGCCCUACUGAUGACGCCUUGUGUCCCUGGCGCUUUUUCUGGGAGGAGGAGGAGGGAUCCGGAAUCCCCGUGUCUCCAUUUUGGUUUUGGUUCUUGGCUGUUGCUGCGUGGUCGUGGAUCUGAGCUGUGCUGAGAGAUCGGGAUCAGUUUGCAUGCGUUUUAAUUAGGUGUUGGAAUGGAGUCAUAUAGACAUAUAUAUACUCAUACAAAAUGUGUAAUUGUAGUAGCAAUCAAGAAAUGCUUCCAAGCUGCAUUUUUAUGCCUCUCUGUGUUCUGGAAUCCUGCUGUGCAUGUUCUGCAGAAGCCAGAGAUCUCUCCAUCAGU